AUUGAACGCUGGCGGCAGGCCUAACACAUGCAAGUCGAGCGGAUGAAGGGAGCUUGCUCCUGGAUUCAGCGGCGGACGGGUGAGUAAUGCCUAUGAAUCUGCCUGGUAGUGGUGGAUAACGUCCGUAAACGGGCUCUAAUACCGCAUACGUCCUUAGGGAGAAAGUGGGGGUUCUUCGGUCCUCCCGCUUUCAUUUUAGCCUUGGUCGGAUUAGCUAGUUGGUGUGGUAAAGGCCUACCAAGGCUACGAUCCGUAACUGGUCUGAGAGGAUGAUCAGUCACACUGGAACUGAGACACGGUCCAGACUACUACGGGAGGAAGCAGUGGGGAAUAUUGGACAAUGGGCGAAAGCCUGAUCCAGCAAUGCCGCGUGUGUGAAGAAGGUCUUCGGAUUGUAAAGCACUUUAAGUUGGGAGGAAGGGCAGUAAGUUAAUACCUUGCUGUUUUGACGUUACCAACAGAAUAAGCACCGGCUAACUACGUG
rnacentral:rRNA from 1 species